rnacentral:lncRNA from 1 species
GCUACAUGGGCGGCGGUGGUCCGGGGGCGUUGCUACCGCCGAACGGAGACGUCGGAUUGGACGGGAUGAUCAGUGUGAUAGCCCACGAGUUGGCCGAACUGACGACGAAUCCGCUGGUGAACGCGUGGUAUGCAGGGGAGGACCCCACUGCACCGACUGAGAUAGGGGAUCUAUGUGAAGGGUUGUACGGUACCGGCGGCGGUGGAGGGUAUAUCGGUCAAGUAAUUAGAGAUAGGAAAGGGAGGACAUAUAACAUGAAUGGCAAUAAAGGAAGGAAAUUUCUGGUGCAGUGGAUAUGGAGCCCCGCAGUGAAAGCUUGUGCUGGUCCAAAUGCUUUGGACUAAUUUUUAAUUUUUUUAUUUUUUGAAAUCAGAUUCUUUUCUUUGGAAUCUUGAUUAUUUUUAUUUAAAUUUUUAUGGCCU